UCUGUGGUGAAAGUGGGGCUUGCCCAGUUGAGACUCCAUUUGCCCUGAGCAGAUUUCCUGAGCCUUGGACGACUAGCUUGCAAUGAAUGCUCCUCUUGUCCCUUGCUGCCUGUCUGCAGUUUUGGCAUUUUUCUAAAGGAAUCAUCCCAUUUCACAGACCGGGUCUUGCUCUGUUGCCCAAGCUGGAGUGCAAUGGUGCCAUCAUGGCUGAAUGCCUUGAACAUAUCUUG